UCACGCGUUACACACCGCCUGGGUCACGUUCGCAAACGCCGCCUGAACAUGACCCCUUUCUUCCGCACCUUCACUCGGAUGACCCUUGAACGCGCCUUGGAUCCUUGACUGCGAACGUGCCCAGGACCUUCGCACCCUCUCCUUGGAAUUGCCUUGCACCUUCGCUCCGCCUGAUUGACUCCGCACAGACAACGAAUGCUCCGGAUCUUCGCCAAUGACCCGACGAAGUUGAGCGGCAAAUGAAUGACGUUAGGGAUGAACGAGGGUGAAAUUCAAUCCGGUAGGCUCUGCGGCGAUUCCAUUCCCAAAUAAUGUCGAGCUGAGGGUGAUGAUCAAAAACCUUGAUCCAGAUCCCCAGCACAAGUUAGCGCCAGUGUUCAUUCAUUGUACAGAUCCUUUUCUGCACAAUUAAAUGACUGCUCACCAUUGGGCAACAUGUUUCUUCAGCACAAUUUUCUGAAUCCAGACCUGAAAGGUGACUGCCACUCCAUGAUCCAGCUGAACCAAAACGUGCCAUCAUGCCUCUUGCAUUUUCAAUUGGCAACUUGCUGCAAUAUUUAGAGUUUCGGUAUCAGUUUGAUUUGCAUAAUGCCAAGUGUACUUCCAAUCCAUGUUUCUGAACAAACAUUGACCAGUUCUAUCUAAAGAACAAACCUCAUGAAGACCACAAGGAAAUUGGGUCCAACGUGUCAGGACCAUUCUGCCUGAGAUUGUGCAGUGAGUUAUCAAUUGUAAUGGUCAUUAGGAAAUCCAAUUUAAAAGUAUGAACUGGGUCCUCAGAUUGUUCAUGCACAUUGCAAUUGUAUCUGAUAAUCUGAAUGACCGGAUUAAACAUUUUCAGCAGUCCAUACUACUUGCUCGACAGCAUCAUAUCACUUCUUCAUUUGGCAGUCUGGAUCACUGGCAUCUCAUGUGAACUCCAUUUCGUUGCUUCUUACAUGGACCUACAAGAUUGCAACUAGGCAUCUAGCUGACAAUAUGAUAGGCAUGUUCUUGGACCAGAGCUCAGAAUAUGUAGUGCUGAGCAUUGUGUAGUUUUGAUUAGAUCUCUUUGGGGACAUCUGUCCGGCACUUGUUGGAGCCACUAGUCACAAUGCUUGGGCCACUAGGAUAUCACAAUGUGCAGCCAUACUGCCGUGCAUCAUGGAUCAUGAGGACCACAUGUUAUAUCAGGUCUAGUUUGUCAGAAGCAGUUCUUCCAGCGAUCAUGCAACGAAAAGAAC
rnacentral:lncRNA from 1 species